rnacentral:rRNA from 1 species
GAAGCGGCAAAAGCUCAAAUUUGAAAUCUGGUACCUUCGGUGCCCGAGUUGUAAUUUGGAGAGGGCAACUUUGGGGCCGUUCCUUGUCUAUGUUCCUUGGAACAGGACGUCAUAGAGGGUGAGAAUCCCGUGUGGCGAGGAGUGCGGUUCUUUGUAAAGUGCCUUCGAAGAGUCGAGUUGUUUGGGAAUGCAGCUCUAAGUGGGUGGUAAAUUCCAUCUAAAGCUAAAUAUUGGCGAGAGACCGAUAGCGAACAAGUACAGUGAUGGAAAGAUGAAAAGAACUUUGAAAAGAGAGUGAAAAAGUACGUGAAAUUGUUGAAAGGGAAGGGCAUUUGAUCAGACAUGGUGUUUUGUGCCCUCUGCUCCUUGUGGGUAGGGGAAUCUCGCAUUUCACUGGGCCAGCAUCAGUUUUGGUGGCAGGAUAAAUCCAUAGGAAUGUAGCUUGCCUCGGUAAGUAUUAUAGCCUGUGGGAAUACUGCCAGCUGGGACUGAGGACUGCGACGUAAGUCAAGGAUGCUGGCAUAAUGGUUAUAUGCCGCCCGUCUUGAAACACGGACCAA